CGGACGGGUGAGUAAUGUAUGGGGAUCUGCCUGAUGGCGGGGGAUAACUACUGGAAACGGUAGCUAAUACCGCAUAAUGUCUACGGACCAAAGCGGGGGACCUCCGGGCCUCGCGCCAUCAGAUGAACCCAUAUGGGAUUAGCUAGUAGGUAAGGUAACGGCUUACCUAGGCGACGAUCCCUAGCUGGCCUGAGAGGAUGAUCAGCCACACUGGGACUGAGACACGGCCCAG
rnacentral:rRNA from 1 species